CAAAGGUAGCAUAAUCACUUGUCUAUUAAUUGUAGACCAGCAUGAAUGGCAAAAUGAAGGCCUAACUGUCUCUUAUAGUAAAUCAAUUAAACUGAUCUCCUAGUAAAAAAGCUAGAAUAACCACAUAAGACCAGAAGACCCUGUGAAGCUUAAACCAUACUACCAAACCCCAUGAUAGCUACUUUCGGUUGGGGCGACCUUGGAAUAAAAAAGAACUUCCAAAUAAUGACCAUAAAUCAUAUAUACCGGCCUACAAGCCCACACUUGACCCAGUAAGACUGAUAAUUGAACCAAGUUACUCCAGGGAUAACAGCGCCAUCUUCUUCAAGAGUCCAUAUCAAAAAGAAGGUUUACGACCUCGAUGUUGGAU
rnacentral:rRNA from 1 species